rnacentral:rRNA from 1 species
UACGGAGGGUGCAAGCGUUAUCCGGAUUUACUGGGUUUAAAGGGUGCGUAGGUGGGUUGGUAAGUCAGUGGUGAAAUACUUUCGCUUAACGAAGGAACUGCCAUUGAUACUAUCAGUCCUGAAUACAGUGGAGGUAGGCGGAAUGCGUCAUGUAGCGGUGAAAUGCUUAGAUAUGACGCAGAACACCAAUUGCGAAGGCAGCUUGCUACACUGUUAUUGACACUGAGGCACGAAAGCGUGGGGAUCAAACAGG